rnacentral:rRNA from 1 species
AGCGGCGGACGGGUGAGUAACACGUGGGUAACCUGCCCAAGAGACUGGGAUAACACCUGGAAACAGAUGCUAAUACCGGAUAACAACACUAGACGCAUGUCUAGAGUUUGAAAGAUGGUUCUGCUAUCACUCUUGGAUGGACCUGCGGUGCAUUAGCUAGUUGGUAAGGUAACGGCUUACCAAGGCAAUGAUGCAUAGCCGAGUUGAGAGACUGAUCGGCCACAUUGGGACUGAGACACGGCCCAGACUCCUACGGGAGGCAGCAGUAGGGAAUCUUCCACAACGGACGAAAGUCUGAUGGAGCAACGCCGCGUGAGUGAAGAAGGGUUUCGGCUCGUAAAGCUCUGUUGGUAGUGAAGAAAGAUAGAGGUAGUAACUGGCCUUUAUUUGACGGUAAUUACUUAGAAAGUCACGGCUAACUACGUGCCAGCAGCCGCGGUAAUGCGUAGGUGGCAAGCGUUGUCCGGACUUAUUGGGCGUAAAGCGAGUGCAGGCGGUUCAAUAAGUCUGAUGUGAAAGCCUUCGGCUUAACCGGAGAAUUGCAUCAGAAACUGUUGAACUUGAGUGCAGAAGAGGAGAGUGGAACUCCAUGUGUAGCGGUGGAAUGCGUAGAUAUAUGGAAGAACACCAGUGGCGAAGGCGGCUCUCUGGUCUGCAACUGACGCUGAGGCUCGAAAGCAUGGGUAGCGAACAGGAUUAGAUACCCUGGUAGUCCAUGCCGUAAACGAUGAGUGCUAAGUGU